rnacentral:rRNA from 1 species
GGCCUAACACAUGCAAGUCGAGCGGUAGCACAGAGAGCUUGCUCUCGGGUGACGAGCGGCGGACGGGUGAGUAAUGUCUGGGAAACUGCCUGAUGGAGGGGGAUAACUACUGGAAACGGUAGCUAAUACCGCAUAACGUCGCAAGACCAAAGUGGGGGACCUUCGGGCCUCAUGCCAUCAGAUGUGCCCAGAUGGGAUUAGCUAGUAGGUGGGGUAACGGCUCACCUAGGCGACGAUCCCUAGCUGGUCUGAGAGGAUGACCAGCCACACUGGAACUGAGACACGGUCCAGACUCCUACGGGAGGCAGCAGUGGGGAAUAUUGCACAAUGGGCGCAAGCCUGAUGCAGCCAUGCCGCGUGUAUGAAGAAGGCCUUCGGGUUGUAAAGUACUUUCAGCGGGGAGGAAGGCGAUAAGGUUAAUAACCUUGUCGAUUGACGUUACCCGCAGAAGAAGCACCGGCUAACUCCGUGCCAGCAGCCGCGGUAAUACGGAGGGUGCAAGCGUUAAUCGGAAUUACUGGGCGUAAAGCGCACGCAGGCGGUCUGUCAAGUCGGAUGUGAAAUCCCCGGGCUCAACCUGGGAACUGCAUUCGAAACUGGCAGGCUAGAGUCUUGUAGAGGGGGGUAGAAUUCCAGGUGUAGCGGUGAAAUGCGUAGAGAUCUGGAGGAAUACCGGUGGCGAAGGCGGCCCCCUGGACAAAGACUGACGCUCAGGUGCGAAAGCGUGGGGAGCAAACAGGAUUAGAUACCCUGGUAGUCCACGCCGUAAACGAUGUCGAUUUGGAGGUUGUGCCCUUGAGGCGUGGCUUCCGGAGCUAACGCGUUAAAUCGACCGCCUGGGGAGUACGGCCGCAAGGUUAAAACUCAAAUGAAUUGACGGGGGCCCGCACAAGCGGUGGAGCAUGUGGUUUAAUUCGAUGCAACGCGAAGAACCUUACCUGGUCUUGACAUCCACAGAACUUAGCAGAGAUGCUUUGGUGCCUUCGGGAACUGUGAGACAGGUGCUGCAUGGCUGUCGUCAGCUCGUGUUGUGAAAUGUUGGGUUAAGUCCCGCAACGAGCGCAACCCUUAUCCUUUGUUGCCAGCGGUUCGGCCGGGAACUCAAAGGAGACUGCCAGUGAUAAACUGGAGGAAGGUGGGGAUGACGUCAAGUCAUCAUGGCCCUUACGACCAGGGCUACACACGUGCUACAAUGGCAUAUACAAAGAGAAGCGACCUCGCGAGAGCAAGCGGACCUCAUAAAGUAUGUCGUAGUCCGGAUUGGAGUCUGCAACUCGACUCCAUGAAGUCGGAAUCGCUAGUAAUCGUAGAUCAGAAUGCUACGGUGAAUACGUUCCCGGGCCUUGUACACACCGCCCGUCACACCAUGGGAGUGGGUUGCAAAAGAAGUAGGUAGCUUAACCUUCGGGAGGGCGCUUACC